GCGGGGCGGGUCCGGCCAGUGGACGCCUCGAGCUGGGCUGCGGGCAUCCGGGUAGGGCGCAGACAGCGGGAGGCGGCGGCCAGCGGGAGGCGGCACAGCCGCCAUGGGGAACAAGCAGACCAUUUUCACCGAGGAGCAGCUGGACAACUACCAGGACUGCACUUUCUUCAAUAAGAAGGACAUCCUCAAGCUGCACGCACGGUUCUACGAGCUGGCCCCCAACCUUGUCCCCAUGGACUACAGGAAGAGCCCCAUCGUGCACGUGCCCAUGAGCCUCAUCGUCCAGAUGCCGGAGCUCCGGGAGAAUCCCUUCAAGGAAAGGAUCGUGGAGUCGUUUUCUGAGGACGGCGAGGGGAACCUCACCUUCAACGACUUCGUGGACAUGUUUUCCGUGCUCUGCGAGUCGGCGCCGCGAGAGCUCAAGGCAAACUACGCCUUCAAGAUCUACGAAGGGCAACGCCGCCUUGCCUGCCCUCCACAAACUGCCCGCGGUUCUGUGAGAAGCUCCUCGAUUCCACCUGCCAGCCCUCUGGUCUCGGGCCCACAGACAGCCAGCGCGGCCCCCGGGUGGGCAGGCAGGAACAGACUUCAACACAGACAACUUCAUCUGCAAGGAGGACCUGGAGCUGACGCUGGCACGGCUCACCAAGGCCGAGCUGGACGAGGACGAGGUGGUGCUCGUGUGCAACAAGGUCAUCGAGGAGGCAGACCUGGACGGCGACGGCAAGCUGGGCUUUGCCGACUUUGAGGACAUGAUUGCCAAGGCUCCCGACUUCCUCAGGUGCCCCCAGGGGCCUGCUGGGGCAGGGGGUCACAGUCCAGCACUUUCCACAUCCGGAUCUGAGGACAGCACCAAGGCUAUAGGGUGCAGUGCGUCCAUCCAGCUUGGCUGUCUGUAUAAGCAUGACCUCUGAGCUCCCCAGGACAGGAGUGGUGGCCUCAAGGUGACACCAACGGACAUUUCCUCGGCCCUUUCAGCAAAAAAUCCUUAACCAGGGAAGGGGAUGUGAGGAGCAGGGCCCUGCCCAGCUCCUGCAGUCCGGCCUAGGACCUGUGGCCCCUCACCAGGCCCUCCCUCUGUCCCCUAAGUCCCCUACCCCUUGGUCCUCUCCUCAUCAGAAGCCUAAUGGGCAGGUUUGGACUUGUCCAAGUGCUGGCCGGGCCCCUGGUCACCCAGGGCAAAGUGGAAAAAACAAGAGGACAGGUUUUAAUGAGCUAUGCAAUCUCCCUGCAGGACCCACAGCCGGUUGCUCCCCCAUUCCCCUCCUCCCUCCAGCCCCCUGCAUGAUGCUAUGUGAACAGGGGGUCCGAGGGCUCCAUCCUUGCCUCUGGUUCUGUGUCCUGAGCACCCAGAGCACCACCCCAUCUGCCUCCUCUCGAUGUGGAAUCCUCACUGGUGUGUGCUGUCCAAAGGUUUGUGAACUUCUGGGAGUAAACACCGUCAGGUCCCUGUGUUCUGUGUGUGCCAGCGUCAGGAAAUGACCCUCUGGACCUUGAAACCCGAUCGGAGCAUCAUCUCGGGGUGGCCCGGCCUUCCUCCUUUAGACAUUAGCUUUUAUUUCAAUGCCAUGCCUAUGGGAGGAACACACAUCUGUGCCCCAAAUCUUCAUGUGAGCCCCACAAAGGACUUUAGGGUAGAAUUGUUUCCAUUUCACUCAGCAAUAACAAUUCCCAUGAAUGUUUGUGGGGUGUAGGCACAGGGCUGGCUGCCUCCUUUCAGUUCUCAUAACGCCCUGGGAAGUGGGCUCACAGAGCCACAUUUUUCAGCAGGAGAAGCUGCAGAGCCCAGGGGCAGCUGAGGGUAUAUUUCCUCCACAAAUGUGAGCUGAGCCAGUCUGUGCAGGGCCAGACCAGGGUCUCUCGCGUUUGCAGGGUGAGGCUGGGAUGAAGGCUGGGGCUCUGGGAGCCCAGACCCUCAGGUGGGGGCUUUGCUGAGACUCCCUCCUGCCCCACCGUCCCUGAGGCAGGAGAGAGUUGUGGCUCCCGGCCUCCCCUCCUUUCUGCUGAUAGGCCCUGAGUAGGGAACUGGUGUGGCCCCAGGAGCAGUUGCAUGAUGUCACUUAGGAAAAUGCCUUUCCAAGCAAGGGCCUCCACGUGCUCCAUUGAGGUCAGUGGUGGGAGGCAGGCUAGGCCACCAGCCCAGCUCAGAACGUCCGUCAUGGACAUGGGGGUCUGGCCCCUGCCUUCGGUCAGUCUUGGUCCUCUCAGCCUUUAUUUCCCCCUCCAGGAGUGUGAGAGGUGCUGGGGAGCGGGACACAGCCUGGAGCUGCCUGCAGCUUGAAGGUCCCCUCCCACCCAUCUCCGGGCAGGCAUUCCCCUGUUCUCUGAGCCAGGUUCCAUGGCAGGGUGGCGGGUCUGAGGGUCUGGGAGCACCCCAAUAAUUCCCAAUGUGGCCCAGGCUGGGAAACCACUGGUGGCUGCUGGAAGCCAGGUCCUCCUCAGGCUUUGCGCUUCUCGUCCACAAAGAAGAUCCUCUGGGGCUUGCCAGGCUGCAGAGGGAGAAGACGCUCGAGCCAUAUCCCAGCUCACUGAGGGCCCAUCACCACUGGCUGGGCUCGGGUGAAGCCCAGGGAAAGGCCAGGCUGGGACUUGAUGGUGGUCCACAGGCCUCCCUCUGUGCGGGGAGUUCCAGCCCCAGCCUGCAGUGUGGGAGGAGGGAGGGGGAGCCUGGGAAGGGGUGGAGACGGAAGGCCAACUGCACCUCCCCUACCUGGAGCUUUCUGCUCCCCGGGGCGGUGGGACAGACACGUGUCCUAGGUAGGCUGGGGUCUGUCAUACAUGGUGUUACCAGGGAGCAGGAAGGAUGAGGGACCUUACAGCCAGGGGCAGAGCUGACAUGGCACGUGGCUUGUGGCUCUCAGAAGGACUGUCCACAGGCAGCCUGCGAGGACCUUCCCCAUCCCGGAGGGGGAGCGGUGGGACUCGCUGGGAAGGCCAUCCAGAGGGGUCUCGGGCUUUGGCUGUUCAGUCCAGGAGAGGGGGUGCAUGUGCCCAAGAUCUGAGGCUGUCCCGAAGUGGUGCGGACUCUGGUUCACUGGCUCCAGGCGUAGGCAAAGCGUGUGGGGGUCAGGGCUGAGGAGGGUUCCUCUGCCUCUCUGGGGACCCCUCACAUCUGCCCUCUGCCCUUCUGAUCCCUGCUGGCCAUCCUUUCCUAGCCUCAGAAACAAUACUCCACUUCUAGAAGGCUCUAGGCUGUGUCCUGAGCGCUUGAGGAUGUCUAGGACUACCCCCUGGGCAGCCACCCCUGAACACAGCAGGAGGACCGGCCGUUCUACAGAGGAUGAAAGGGAGGUCCUGGGUGGGCUGCUGAGUAAGAUGCCCAAAGAAAUUUGGCUCCGAUAAACAAGGAAUAAUGUUUUGGGAUAUAA